UGAGGAAUAUUGGUCAAUGGGCGGGAGCCUGAACCAGCCAAGUACGCGUGAGGGAAGACGGUCCUAUGGAUUGUAAACCUCUUUAGGCGGGGAGCAAUGCCGGGCACGCGUGCCCGGAGGGAGAGUACCCGCAGAAUAAGCAUCGGCUAACUCCGUGCC
rnacentral:rRNA from 1 species